rnacentral:lncRNA from 1 species
AUGUUGUUGUAAACCAGAAUUUUGGAACAUUUGAAUUAAAAUUCAAUCCCCCAAAGUUCUGCUGAGUCCCAGCUCUCAAACCAAACACUGACAAAAAUGUGUAAAUAUCCAUGAUUUAAAAGCAGUUGAGAGACAGGCCAAUAUAUUUAGCAAAAAAUGUUUUCAAAGUUUCAUAUGAAUCUCCGAUGUUAGAUUUUCGCGGAUACAAAUCU